CCUACGGGCGGCAGCAGUGGGGAAUAUUGCACAAUGGGCGCAAGCCUGAUGCAGCCAUGCCGCGUGUGUGAAGAAGGCCUUCGGGUUGUAAAGCACUUUCAGCGGGGAGGAAGGCGUUAAGGUUAAUAACCUUGUCGAUUGACGUUACCCGCAGAAGAAGCACCGGCUAACUCCGUGCCAGCAGCCGCGGUAAUACGGAGGGUGCAAGCGUUAAUCGGAAUUACUGGGCGUAAAGCGCACGCAGGCGUUCUGUCAAGUCGGAUGUGAAAUCCCCGGGCUCAACCUGGGAACUGCAUUCGAAACUGGCAGGCUAGAGUCUUGUAGAGGGGGGUAGAAUUCCAGGUGUAGCGGUGAAAUGCGUAGAGAUCUGGAGGAAUACCGGUGGCGAAGGCGGCCCCCUGGACAAAGACUGACGCUCAGGUGCGAAAGCGUGGGGAGCAAACAGGAUUAGAUACCCUAGUAGUC
rnacentral:rRNA from 1 species